ensembl:ncRNA C35C5.16 ncRNA
UUAUCCUAUCGAUGGUGCCGCCAAGACAAAUUGUGGUCGCAUCCAAUUUGUUCGUUCCGGCGCCACUGUUACAUCGUGUCAAUUUUUUCGGUGCCCAUCUCGUUUGAUACUCACACUUUUUUAUCAGCGCAACUGUCAG